AAGUCGUGUUGUGGACAAUUUCGAAGCAAUCCCUUGUAACGGUCCCAUGCUUCAUAUAAUAACUCACCAUCAGAUUGUUGAAAAUUUUAUAUAUUUUUCUUCAAUUU